GGGGGGGGGGGGGGGGGGGGGGGGGGGGGGGGGGGGGGGGGGGGGGGCCGGCGAUGGGGGGGUGCGCGGUGGGCGAGCGGGGGGGUCGCCGGUGGGUCGCCUGGCCGCGGCUUUGUGGUAACUUCAGGAGCGUUGGGCUAAUACGGGAUAGGCACUCCUGCUGCCUGGUUGGUGUUGCGGAGUUUCGGCGGUUGGGGAUGGACUGGCGGCUUAUCGGCUUGUUGGUGGGGUAGUGGACUACCACGGCUUUGAAUGGUAGCCGGCCUGAGAGGGUGACCGGCCACAUUGGGACUGAGAUACGGCCCAGACUCCUACGGGAGGCAGCAGUGGGGAAUAUUGCACAAGGGGCGGAAGCCUGAUGCAGCAACGCCGCGUGCGGGAUGACGGCCUUCGGGUUGUAAACCGCUUUCGCCUGUGACGAAGCGUGAGUGACGGUAAUGGGUAAAGAAGCACCGGCUAACUACGUG
rnacentral:rRNA from 1 species